AUGGACGGAGAGCAAGGUCGGCAGCGGCCGGACUCCGGCAAGAACCUCAUAAAGAUCCCGUCCUACCAAGAGGUCUUCGGUAACGGAGCAGCUGCCUCCUCCUCCUCCUCGACGCCCCCCUCCUACAACCCUCCUCUCCCCAGCGCCGCCGCUGCCGCUGCCGGCUCUUCGUCGUCGUCGUCGUCGUUCUCCGAGGCCUUCUCCUUCCUCAAAUCCUCCGAGUUCUACUCCCCUCCCCCGCCGCCUCCACAGCAAUCCACCGCUCCUAGGCCGCCUCUGGCUGGCGCCACCACUACGCCGUCCCAGAGCAAGAACGCCAUUCUCGUGAGCAAUAGGCAGAAAGGGAACCCAUUACUGAAGCACAUCAGGAAUGCGAGGUGGACGUUCGCUGACAUUGUUCCAGACUACGUGAUUGGGCAAUCAUCAUGUGCACUCUACAUAAGUCUCAGGUACCAUCUUCUUCACCCAGACUACUUGUACUAUCGGAUAAGGGAGCUCCAAAAGAAUUUCAAACUCCGUGUCAUCUUGUGCCAUAUUGAUAUUGAAGAUGUAGUAAAGCCUUUACAUGAAGUCACAAGGACAUCACUGCUGCAUGACUGCACCCUUCUGUGUGGUUGGAGUCUGGAGGAAUGUGGCAGGUACUUGGAGACUAUUAAAGUGUUUGAAAACAAGCCAGCUGACAGCAUUCGCGAGCACACAGAUAAUGAUUAUUUAUCUCGGUUCACUCAUGCUCUUACAUCCAUCCGGCGUGUUAACAAAACAGAUGUUAUCACACUUGGUUCGUCUUUUGGGUCACUUUCCCGAGUCAUGGAUGCUUCUAUGGAAGAACUAGCUCGUUGUCCAGGAAUUGGCGAACGGAAGGUAAAGCGACUUCAUGAUACUUUUCAUGAGCCAUUUAAACGCGUUACGCCCCGCCCAAACCUCGUAGUACCUGAUACUCCCGACAGAGAGAAAGCGUCUGGUCAGCCUUCAUCGACCAACGAUGGCACGCCGGAAAAGCCAGGCACUUCCAAGAACAAGAAAGGCCCUGAUGUCAAAUCGGCCCUUACUGCUGCAUUUGCGAAGUACUCAGAAAAGAUCCGCAGUCAGGGCCGCGAGGCGGCCCAUGAGGCUGGUGAAGGUCCUAGCAGCUCAACCAUGGAAGGUGACAAGACAAAACAAUUAGAUUAG
rnacentral:rRNA from 1 species